rnacentral:snoRNA from 1 species
ACCCUCCACAUUCCUUGUCCCUCAGAUCUAAAUAUUGGUCUGAGUGUUGAAUAAAUGAGGAAAAGUACAACUGAAGUGAACUUGGGGUCUUUAAUGACUUACAAGUUCAUUUCAAACAUAA